UACGAAGGGGGCUCGCGUUGCUCGGAAUUACUGGGCGUAAAGGGCGCGUAGGCGGACAGUUUAGUCAGAGGUGAAAGCCCAGGGCUCAACCUUGGAACUGCCUUUGAUACUGACUGUCUUGAGUUCGGGAGAGGUGAGUGGAAUGCCGAGUGUAGAGGUGAAAUUCGUAGAUAUUCGGCGGAACACCAGUGGCGAAGGCGACUCACUGGCCCGAUACUGACGCUGAGGCGCGAAAGCGUGGGGAGCAAACAGG
rnacentral:rRNA from 1 species